rnacentral:rRNA from 1 species
CAGCGCCGAGGAUAGUGAAGGGUUUCCCUUUGUGAAAGCAGGACGUUGCCGUGC